rnacentral:rRNA from 1 species
AUGGCCGGCACCGAAGGGUCGACGACGGAGGGGGCGGAGAAGGACCUGGAGUUCUCGCGCGGCGGCGAGGGGCCCAGCUUCGAGUUCGCGUUCAACUCGCAGAACUUCUCCGACAGGUUGCUGCGGAUAGAGGUCGUCGCCGGCGAAGACUUCGCCGGACGAUUCCUCCCUGACUCGGCGCGCCACUGCAAGGAGAAAGUUUUACGAGUAAAGACGAUUCAUAUCAACUCAGCGAUUCUUGCUGUGAGGAGUCCUUUCUUUCUCAAGCUUUUCUCGAAUGGCAUGAAAGAAUCUGAUCAGACACAUCCAACACUUAGGAUUGCUGAUUCAGAUGAAAAUGCCCUUAUGGAGCUUUUAAACUUUAUAUACAGUGGAAAACUCACCACAGCUGAGCCCUCUCUUCUGCUUGACAUCUUGAUGGCUGCGGACAAAUUUGAAGUCGUUUCUUGCAUGAGGCAUUGCUGUCAGUUGCUCACAAGUUUGCCUUGGACCACAGAAUCUGCACUGCUGUGCCUAGAUCACCCAUGCACCAUGUCAAUGGCAGCUGAAGUUCAACUUUUGAUAAGUGCAGCCAAGGAUUUCCUUGUCAAUAAAUACAAGGAUUACAAUAAGCUUGGUUUCUCUUAUUUCAGUCUCCGGAAGGAAGUGACAAACAUUUCUCUUGCUGGGAUCAAAGCCAUACUUUCAAGUACUGACAUACAUGUGGAAUGUGAAGAUUACUUAUUCUUGCUCUUGCUCAAUUGGGCCCGUGUUCGAUACCCUGAUUUGGAGGAAAGACGUGAGAUCUUGAAUUCUCAUUUACUUCCACUCCUGCGCUUCAGCCAUAUGACCUAUAAGACACUUCAGGAGAUCUUAGCAUGCACUGCUAACGACAUAGACCAUGAGCAAGUGACUAAGUGUAUCAAUGGGGUGCUUCUGUGCAAAGCUUAUCCAGCACACAAACCAGGUGCUCUUGCAGCAUGUGCACCCUCCUGUCAGCAAUUUGCAGAGCGAGAUUACAAGUACAGACAUCUGAAAGUGGUUGCGUUUGAUCAACCCUGCCCGCAGGUUAUAGCUUACAUGGAUUUGAAGCAUGAGGAAUGCUCCCAACUCUUCCCGUCAGGAAAGAUAUUCUCACACCCGUUCCAUGUCGCAGGUCAGGGCUUCAUUCUUGGGGCAAGAUGUUGCAAGGCCGAUCAGGGGGAGUCUUACAGUUUUGGCCUCUUGUUAUAUAUCGAUUUGGAGCUGAAGGGCUCAACGUGUGUGACGGUGGAUUAUGAGUUUGCCGCAAGGACAAGGCCAUCGCGGCAGUUUGUAAGCAAGUUAAAUGGUAGACACACAUUUAGUGACAAGUUUCCAGUUGGAUCGAGGUAUCUCUUUUGGGUUCCAUGGCAGACCUUCAUGGCUGACGAUAGCAUCUUCAUCGACGGCGUGCUGCACCUGAGAGUUGAUCUGACGGUGGUGGAGCAGACGGAACUGCAAACGUGA